AUUGAACGCUGGCGGCAGGCUUAACACAUGCAAGUCGAGCGAGCGGCAGACGGGUGGGUAAUGUCUGGGAAACUGCCUGAUGGCGGGGGAUAACUACUGGAAACGGUAGCUAAUACCGCAUACCCUCAGAUGUGCCCAGAUGGUAUUAGCUCGUAGGUGGGGUAAUGGCUCACCUAGGCGACGAUCCCUAGCUGGUCUUAGAGGAUGACCAGCCACACUGGAACUGAGACACGGUCCAGACGCCUACGGGAGGCAGCAGUGGGGAAGAUUGCACAAUGGGCGAAAGCCGGAUGCAGCCAUGCCGCGUGUGUGAAGAAGGACUUCGGGUUGUAAAGCACUUUCAGUGAGGAGGCGUUACUCGCAGAAGAAGCACCGGCUAACUUCGUGCCAGCAGCCGCGGUAAUAC
rnacentral:rRNA from 1 species